UUGCAAGCUAUUCCCUCACCCCACUCAGGGGUGACCCUCCAAGAAAAGGGAGCCAGUGUAGUGUUUUCCCAGAGCCACUCCUCAGGUCCAGGAUCAGGGAAGCUGAGAGAGACUGCUGAUGUGUCACAGCCGCCUCUUAUGGAGCCACCAUGACUCACUUUAACAAAGGACCUUCCCACAACCUCUCCGCUGAGGUCAAGAAAAGAUUACCUCC